ACCAGGAAGAAGUGCAGUUCAGCUGGCCAACAGGAUGUUACCCUGUCCGCGGCAGGAAGAGCAGGGGAAUUCCCAGCUCAGCAAUAAUCACUGUCAAAUUGAGGUAGAAGGAGAAAAGGGCUGGGCACAGCAAUUAUACCCUUCCAGGGCCAAGAACCAAGUGCUUUCUAAGUCAUCUGCUUGUAAGUUAUUAGUCACCAUCACUUCCUAACCACAUAAACUCAUCCCAUUUGAUUUUAAACCUCCUGACAGGUCCCCGGGCCACUCGGACGCGAGCUUCCCAUCAGUCUCACGAGAGGAGAGGCGAUUCAGAAAGCACCACCGCAGCAGGACUUAGGAAGAUGUGGAUGCUUUGCUUCACUGCAAUUCCCUGGCCUGGAGAGCUGGAUGCACAACUCGGAUGAUUCUUUGGCUCACUGUCCUGUGAAAUGGGUUUUCUUUAUAGGAAGGCAUAUAAAAUGCAGCUAAGGCAGCUCUGACAAGCUAAAACAAAGGAUUGGUCUCUUUUUUGACACAUGCACAUGGCUUUUGGACAAAUCCUGAAGAGUUUGUGGCUAUAAACAUUUAUGCAAGAAGGAAACUAUAGUAGCAGAAACCUACUUAAUUUGUAAAAAAAUGACUGGUACACGCUGAGAAGAUGCUCACCCAUGUGACCAUGGGGCUACCAUUAAUUUGAAAAGAAUCCUGACCCUGCCUAUGCAGGAAAAUCAGCAGUUUCUACUGCGUUCAGUCGCUGCAUUGAGGAACUGUAUCCGGGAGACAAGCAGCAUUUCAAAGGGGCCUGGCUACCAGAAAAUGGUGGUCAAAAUGAACACGAGUUUUCAGAGUGCUGCAAACAUCUCCAGCUCACAUUCAGAUCAACUGAAGGAAGAGAAACAGUGAUCCAUCAGCACAGACAAACUGGCUUGCAAGUCGACCUCCAGCAGAGCUAAGGCAGAGAAUAAGUCACCACAAACCCACAAGAAGAGCCACGCCCAUUUAAUAACCUAUAAUUUUUAAAUAUAACAUUUUAUUGCUUAGAUGGUUUGAUACAGAACAAGUUUUACUUUUUAUUUUGAAUUUGGAAGUACUGUACAACUGAAAAAAAGAGGAAUAAAAGUACCAAAACU